rnacentral:lncRNA from 1 species
UAGAAGGAUGGGAUCAUGUGUAUAUGAUAAUAAGUACAAAAUUAAAUUUUAAAUGGUGAACAUUAUUGUGCAUAGCAAUUUAUGUUCCUUCGUGAUGCUGUUGAUUUAAAGACAACGCAUAUGCAAUAAAACAAGAUAUUUUUUCAUCGCUGACAUUGUAUUUUGAUAAAAACGUAUGCAUUGCCUCUGAUUAAACAUAUUA